rnacentral:rRNA from 1 species
UACGUAGGGGGCAAGCGUUGUCCGGAAUCAUUGGGCGUAAAGCGCGUGUAGGCGGCUCGAUAAGUCUGCUGUGAAAGUCCAGGGCUCAACCCUGGGAUGCCGGUGGAUACUGUCGAGCUUGAGUCCGGAAGAGGCGAGUGGAAUUCCUGGUGUAGCGGUGAAAUGCGCAGAUAUCAGGAGGAACACCUAUUGCGAAGGCAGCUCGCUGGGACGUAACUGACGCUGAGACGCGAAAGCGUGGGGGAGCAAAACAGG